GGUAGUCCACGCCGUAAACGAUGUCGACUUGGAGGUUGUGCCCUUGAGGCGUGGCUUCCGGAGCUAACGCGUUAAGUCGACCGCCUGGGGAGUACGGCCGCAAGGUUAAAACUCAAAUGAAUUGACGGGGGCCCGCACAAGCGGUGGAGCAUGUGGUUUAAUUCGAUGCAACGCGAAGAACCUUACCCACUCUUGACAUCCAGAGAACUUAGCAGAGAUGCUUUGGUGCCUUCGGGGACUCUGAGACAGGUGCUGCAUGGCUGUCGUCAGCUCGUGUUGUGAAAUGUUGGGUUAAGUCCCGCAACGAGCGCAACCCUUAUCCUUUGUUGCCAGCGGUUAGGCCGGGAACUCAAAGGAGACUGCCAGUGAUAAACUGGAGGAAGGUGGGGAUGACGUCAAGUCAUCAUGGCCCUUACGAGUAGGGCUACACACGUGCUACAAUGGCGCAUACAAAGAGAAGCGACCUCGCGAGAGCAAGCGGACCUCAUAAAGUGCGUCGUAGUCCGGAUUGGAGUCUGCAACUCGACUCCAUGAAGUCGGAAUCGCUAGUAAUCGUAGAUCAGAAUGCUACGGUGAAUACGUUCCCGGGCCUUGUACACACCGCCCGUCACACCAUGGGAGUGGGUUGCAAAAGAAGUAGGUAGCUUAACCUUCGGGAGGGCGCUUACCACUUUGUGAUUCAUGACUGGGGUGAAGUCGUAACAAGGUAACCGUAGGGGAACCUGC
rnacentral:rRNA from 1 species